rnacentral:rRNA from 1 species
CCUACGGGAGGCAGCAGUGGGGAAUAUUGGACAAUGGGCGAAAGCCUGAUCCAGCCAUGCCGCGUGUGUGAAGAAGGUCUUCGGAUUGUAAAGCACUUUAAGUUGGGAGGAAGGGCAGUAAGUUAAUACCUUGCUGUUUUGACGUUACCGUCAGAAUAAGCACCG